rnacentral:tmRNA from 2 species
GGGGCUGACAUGAAUUUCGACGGGAGUUAGAUAGCUCUAGUUGCAUACCGACUUGUGCUAAGUCGUAAAACUGGCUCUUAAAUAUAAACGCAAACAAUUCAAAUUACGCUCCUGCUUACGCUAAAGUUGCGUAAGUUUAUCGACUCUUUUGGAGCUGUUUUUAGUUAAGAUUCUAGCUAUUUUCUAAAAGCAUCAUUUCUGCUAGAUGCGGUUUUGCACACCUAAAGCAAAAUUUAAGUCAAAAAAGGUUGCCUUGUUUAUAGAUUUUUGGGAGUUUUUAUAGGCAAGAAAGAUUCUAAACCCAAGGAAGUAUGUAUAUCAGCUGUGUUGGUCUAGUUUUCGGACUGGGGUUUGAUUCCCCACAGCUCCACCA